CACGUGGCCCAAAAUUCUCCCUAGCAAUCCCUUCCACCGCCUCAGCUUUUAUCUAUCAUCUCCAUUGUGUUUUUUCUCUUCUUUCUUUUGGGGCUGGUGGGUUUAAAAAGAAAAAGAAACAAAGAAGAACAGAGCGCGUGAGAGAAACAGAGAGAGAGAGAGAAACGAGAGCGAGACGGAAGGGGAAGCGCCAAAGGCUCGAUCUUCGCAAUAUCUGGCGAGACCAGUGAUUCGACUCCAUCCUUCGUCCAAGCUCUCCUUCUCGGGUUAUACUCGUGAUUGAUAAGAGCAGAGGACAUCGAUUGUGCACCCUGAAGGUCAAGUUUGGUGAAUCAUUUUAGUGCUAGGCGAGUACUUCAUUCCAUUGUGAAAUGAUAUAUAUGUAUAUAUAUAUAUUAUGUGAGUACUCUAUUCCCAUGUAAAAUGAUGUAUUAUAGUUAUAUAAAUUAUUGAAGAAGCAUAUUGUGAUAGUUAGAGAUUAAGAAAUUAGUCAUGCUAUGUUGUGUGAAUUGAUUUGAGAGAUGUUGCCUUUUAUGUUUCAUUUUAAUUUGGGAUAUGCAGUGUGAUUGUGAAUGUUGAUUGUGAUGAUAACUUGCUGUCAUUGUACUGUGAUUGAGAUUGUGUUUGUGUAUGAUGAUAUAUGAGGUGAGAUGGCAUGGUUGCAAUUAAUUAUA